UACGGAGGGGGCUAGCGUUGUUCGGAAUUACUGGGCGUAAAGCGCACGUAGGCGGAUGUGUCAGUCAGGGGUGAAAUCCCGGGGCUCAACCUCGGAACUGCCUUUGAUACAGCACGUCUCGAGUCCGGAAGAGGUGGGUGGAAUUCCUAGUGUAGAGGUGAAAUUCGUAGAUAUUAGGAAGAACACCGGUGGCGAAGGCGGCCCACUGGUCCGGUACUGACGCUGAGGUGCGAAAGCGUGGGGAGCAAACAGG
rnacentral:rRNA from 1 species